rnacentral:rRNA from 1 species
GAUGAACGCUGGCGGCGUGCCUAAUACAUGCAAGUCGAGCGAACAGACGAGGAGCUUGCUCCUCUGACGUUAGCGGCGGACGGGUGAGUAACACGUGGAUAACCUACCUAUAAGACUGGGAUAACUCCGGGAAACCGGAGCUAAUACCGGAUAAUAUAUUGAACCGCAUGGUUCAAUAGUGAAAGACGGUUUUGCUGUCACUUAUAGAUGGAUCCGCGCCGCAUUAGCUAGUUGGUAAGGUAACGGCUUACCAAGGCAACGAUGCGUAGCCGACCUGAGAGGGUGAUCGGCCACACUGGAACUGAGACACGGUCCAGACUCCUACGGGAGGCAGCAGUAGGGAAUCUUCCGCAAUGGGCGAAAGCCUGACGGAGCAACGCCGCGUGAGUGAUGAAGGUCUUCGGAUCGUAAAACUCUGUUAUUAGGGAAGAACAAAUGUGUAAGUAACUAUGCGCGUCUUGACGGUACCUAAUCAGAAAGCCACGGCUAACUACGUG